rnacentral:rRNA from 1 species
UACGUAGGGGGCUAGCGUUGUCCGGAUUUAUUGGGCGUAAAGAGCGUGUAGGCGGCCAGGUAGGUCUGCUGUGAAAACUCGAGGCUCAACCUCGAGACGUCGGCGGAAACCAUCUGGCUAGAGUCCGGAAGAGGAGAGUGGAAUUCCUGGUGUAGCGGUGAAAUGCGCAGAUAUCAGGAAGAACACCCAUGGCGAAGGCGGCUCUCUGGGACGGUACUGACGCUGAGACGCGAAAGCGUGGGGAGCGAACAGG